rnacentral:rRNA from 1 species
GACGAACGCUGGCGGCGUGCUUAACACAUGCAAGUCGAACGGAAAGGCCCUGCUUUUAUGGUACUCGAGUGGCGAACGGGUGAGUAACACGUGGGUGAUCUGCCCUCCACUUCGGGGGAAACCUGGGAAACAGGGGCUAAUACAGGAUAGAAGCCAUCUUUAGUGAGAGGGUUGGAGAGUUUUCUCGGUGUUGGAUGAGCUCACGGGCUAUCCGCUUGUUGGUUGGGUAAUGGGCGACCAAGGGGGCGACGGGUGGCCGGCCUGAGAGGGUGGACGGGCACCAUUGGACUGCGAUACGGCCCAGAAUCCUACCGGGGGCAGGAGUGGGGAAUAUUUCCCAAUGGGGCCGAGCCUGGUGCAACGAAGCCGCGUGGGGGAUGACGGCCUUCGGGUUGUAAACUCCUUUCGGUAUGGACGGAGCUUUUUGUGACGGUACCUAGAUAAGAAGCACCGGCUAACUACGUG